GACCAACUCGAGAGCGAAAACAAGACGCUACAGCACGAGAACAAAUGGAGAAAGGCUCGCAAUAAAACAGAUAACAUCACUCUUGAUGCAGGAACAGCCCACCCCAAUCUCUCCAUUGCUGGGGAUGAGAAGAAUUUUAAACAUGAAGCCCAACCUCGGCAAGUUCCACCAAAUCCACAGAGGUUCGAUUCAACUGUCUGUGUGUUGGGGUCUGAAGGAUUCUCCUCUGGAGAGCACUACUGGGAGGUGGAUGUUGGGAACAGCACUGACUGGGAUCUUGGUGUGGCCAGAAAAUCCAUACAGAGAAAAGGAAAACUGUCCUUGUCCCCUAGAGAGGGAUUCUGGGUUCUGGGUCUGAGUGGGAGAGAUUACUGGGCAAAAACUGAUCCAUGGACCCGGGUCAUGGUGCAGAAAAAGCCCAAGAAAAUUGGAGUUUACCUUAGUUACCAAGAGGUGACUUUUUUCAAUGUAACUGACCUAUCUGUGUUGUUCACAUUUAAUGAUUGUUCAUUCUCAGGAGAAGUUUAUCCAUUCUUUAAAAAUUCCCACAAAGAAACAAUAAUGAGAAUUUCUUCAAUUAAAGAAGAGGACUAAAUUUAAAAUGGCUGUUAUGCUCAGUUUUGCUGACCAAACUAAUCCCAAAGACCCCUGAUGCAUCAUGGCACUCUUGACCAAACCGAACCAAAGUAAGAGAAUGCUUUGCAGCCAGAUGAAAGGCAAAGUGGAAAAUCAUUGCCUGUGAAAUUAUAGUUACAUGCAUUGCUAAUGCUACAGGGGUGGCUUCCCAUGUAGCAGAUGCAACUUUACUGGAAUCCAUAAAACUGAACUAUCACAAACUGAGCUAUUAACUAGGAAUGAACUUUUUUUUAAUCACUAACUACUAGUUUAUCUGGAUAAGGCAUAUUAGUAGCUAAGAGUAAGGAAAUAAUAUUGUAUAUUAUACAGAUGUACCUGUGCUAGACUGUAUAACCAAUCUUCAAGUCAGGUAUAAAUACAGGUGAGGGAUGUGUCUUCAGAAUGG